rnacentral:lncRNA from 1 species
UCUUCAUGUGUGUCUUCAUGCUCAAUGUCUCUGAUGCCUGUUAUAUCAUCAGUCUUCCGGAAGAGCUCAUUAGAGUCGUAAGUUUCACAAACUUUGCUCAAAUUUGUAAAACUUGGGGGGCUUCUGUUUGCACCUAAAAUGAAUCCAAUUUUACUCAUUUAGGCUGUUCGGGCAAAAUAUGGUAUUUGGAGGAUUAUCUGGAAGAAAGGCUAACUUGGAAAAAUAUUUGGCUACAAGUGAGGUAGUUUUGACAUUAUAAUAUUGCUUUUCCUUUUUAUUUGGGUGGUGGAGGUUUGCCAAGAG